GAUGAACGCUGGCGGCGUGCCUAAUACAUGCAAGUCGAGCGAAUGGAUUAAGAGCUUGCUCUUAUGAAGUUAGCGGCGGACGGGUGAGUAACACGUGGGUAACCUGCCCAUAAGACUGGGAUAACUCCGGGAAACCGGGGCUAAUACCGGAUAACAUUUUGAACCGCAUGGUUCGAAAUUGAAAGGCGGCUUCGGCUGUCACUUAUGGAUGGACCCGCGUCGCAUUAGCUAGUUGGUGAGGUAACGGCUCAACAAGGCAACGAUGCGUAGCCGACCUGAGAGGGUGAUCGGCCACACUGGGACUGAGACAUGGCCCAGACUCCUACGGGAGGCAGCAGUAGGGAAUCUUCCGCAAUGGACGAAAGUCUGACGGAGCAACGCCGCGUGAGUGAUGAAGGCUUUCGGGUCGUAAAACUCUGUUGUUAGGGAAGAACAAGUGCUAGUUGAAUAAGCUGGCACCUUGACGGUACCUAACCAGAAAGCCACGGCUAACUACGUGCCAGCCGCCGCGGUAA
rnacentral:rRNA from 1 species